rnacentral:lncRNA from 1 species
AUAAAUUACAUUUAGUCUACUCAAUGAGUAUGACCGUGAACAAUUUAUUUAAAUAUCUUUGACAUUAGAAAAACUAUACAAAAUAGAUCCAAGAAAACAAACAUAUAAUAACAGAAUACAAACAUAACAUAGAAGUAUUUCCUCACAAUCACUACAAUUAUAAGGAAUUGUAGUGUUUUUAUUCUUUGACACACAACAUAACAAACCAUUAAUUUCGAAAAUUUUUGAUGAUAGCAUUUGAUGCUUCUUAGCACUUGUGCUAGUAGUAGCAAUAACGAGAAAAGAGGCCUUUUCUAACUCAAUAAUCA